rnacentral:rRNA from 1 species
CAGUAGCCGCGGUAAUACGAAGGGGGCUAGCGUUGUUCGGAAUUACUGGGCGUAAAGGGCGCGUAGGCGGCCAUUCAAGUUAGAUGUGAAAGCCCUGGGCUCAACCUAGGAAUUGCAUUUGAUACUGUUUGGCUUGAGUUCGGGAGAGGUGAGUGGAAUUCCCAGUGUAGAGGUGAAAUUCGUAGAUAUGCGGAGGAACACCGAUGGCGAAGGCAAUCCCCUGGACCUGUACUGACGCUCAUGCACGAAAGCGUGGGGAGCAAACAGGAUUAGAUACCCCCGUAGUCCCUGUCUCUUAUAC